rnacentral:rRNA from 1 species
UACGGAGGGUGCAAGCGUUGUCCGGAAUCACUGGGCGUAAAGGGCGCGUAGGUGGUUUGAUAAGGGUGUGGUGAAAGUCCGGGGCUCAACCCCGGAUCUGCCGUGCCGACUGUCAAACUCGAGGACUGUAGAGGCAGACGGAAUUCCGGGUGUAGCGGUGGAAUGCGUAGAGAUCCGGAGGAAGACCGGUGGCGAAGGCGGUCUGCUGGGCAGUUUCUGACACUGAGGCGCGACAGCGUGGGGAGCAAACAGGG